rnacentral:misc_RNA from 1 species
AUUAAAUCAAUAUAAUUUAAAUAAAAGUUUAUGAUUCAGGUGAUGCGAAAGUACUCGAUUCAAAUCAUAGUUACCUAUCAAAAAUUGGGUGGUGCUAAGUUAUACCAUUCCCAUGUCUUUUUCAUGUCUUUGUCCAGAGUCGAUGAGGUAUCAAGCUUGUGUUCCUCAAUCCAUACUAGAGAGUCAUAAAUCAUAGCUGGCUAUGGUGCCCCAAUUAGCACAACAGGACCGACAUGAAUAAAAUGGCCCAACUACCCAAUUUCACAAGCGUUCACUUGGAACUCAACAAGCAAGCAAUCAACUUAACUUAAAUUCAACAACUGCAUAAUCAUUAAGAAUCCGUUUGCUCAACUUACUUUUUUCUCCCUCUUGUUAUUGUAAAACAAGUAAUCAUUAGAAACACUCCAGAAAAUAAAUUAACCACAAGGAAGUAAAUUGGCUCAGCUCGAAAUUACAAGUUACUUAGAAUUCCAAAUCACACCCAGUACCACGCUUCGAAGGAAAUUGUGCAACAGUAGUCUGAACUACAUGAAGAAUUGAUUGAAAGUUCUAUCAUAUCACGUUCCAAUUGUCGAAUAUCAAAAUGAAGCUCAAGUAUUGAAAUAUCACUUUUCAUAAAAGUAAAAAGAAACGCAUGACUUGUAUACAACAUGAAGCAUAAUUUGAUGAAGAGGAGUAUUUAGAAGGCUAUAAGACCUAAAUCAUUUAGGCGAGGUUAUCAAAAUUGUCAAAUUCUGGACAAAACCAGAUAAUAACAUGGGCAACUGUCAAAGGAGGGAUCUAGCUCACCGUAUUUGCAUUCAUGGGAGACAGCAUCCCCUUGGCAUACAGAAUCAGUUGGAACCUAUCCACUAUUUCACUCAUGCAUUCCAUUCAGCCGGGCCCCAAAAAAAGCUGUGCACAGUGCACCACACCUCAAGUGAUAACCUACAUCUAAGCUACAAAUAAAUAGCUUACAAGAUGAGGUAACAAAACAAUAUUAUUAACAUUAUUAUUGAUACAGGGAUGUGUGUUUUACAGGCACUGGACAAACAUGGAAACUGGAAAGUUGUAAUCAAGCAAUUAAGAGAUCAGAAAAUAGCAACAAAAUAAUAAGAUACAAAUCUUAAUUUAACAACUCCAUGCUACUUUUCUAAUAACUACAUGAAUAUUAUACCAUUACCUCCCUAGCACUGAAUUUGGAAACAAAAAGAGGCAGAACACAAUAUAUGGUGAUUAGACUUCUAAACUACAAUGCAUGAUAAAGCACUUAUCUUCAUGUGCAUGUAUAGGCUUUUCAACUCAAAAUGGCAAUUUACGCCACAUAAAAUACAGACCCACAAUGUGGGGAAAAAAUGAAUGAAUUGGAA